AGUUCUGACCGUAAACUAUGCCAUCUAGCGAUCCAAUGGGGUAUGUAGCCUUGUUGGGGAGCUUCCCGGAAACGAAAGUCUUUCGGUUCCUGGGGUAGUAUGGUUGCAAAGCUGAAACUUAAAGAAAUUGACGGAAGGGCACCACCAGGAGUGGAGCCGUGCGGCUUAAUUUGACUCAACACGGGAAAACUCACCCGGCCCGGACACCGUUAGGAUUGACAGAUUGAAAGCUCUUUCUCGAUUUGGUGGUUGGUGGUGCAUGGCCGUUCUUAGUUGGUGGAGCGAUUUGUCUGGUUUAUUCCGAUAACGAGCGAGACUCUAGCCUGCUAAAUAGUGUCCAGAUAUAUAAGUCUGGCUUACUUCUUAGAGGGAUAAGCGGUGUUUAGCCGCACGAGAUUGAGCGAUAACAGGUCUGUGAUGCCCUUAGAUGUUCGGGGCUGCACGCGCGCUACACUGGAAGAAUCAGCUGGUCCUUCCAUUGCCGAAAGGUAUUGGUAAACCGUUGAAACUCUUCCGUGACCGGGAUAGGGAAUUGUAAUUAUUUCCCUUGAACGAGGAAUUCCUAGUAAGUGUGAGUCAUCAGCUCACGUUGAUUACGUCCCUGCCCUUUGUACACACCGCCCGUCGCUGUCCGGGACUGAGCUGUUUCGAGAAGAGUGGAGACUGCUGUAUUGGGGCUUUCGGGCUCUGGUAUGAUGGAAACCAUUUUAAUCGCAAUGGCUUGAACCGGGCAAAAGUCGUAACAAGGUAUCUGUAGGUGAACCUGCAGAUGGAUCAUCG
rnacentral:ncRNA from 1 species